CCGGUUCACUGAUGAUUUAUUUUCACAUAUUUUCCUUAUAAAUUAAGCUAAUACAUAAUGUUGGAGGGAUGGUUCAUCUCCUACUUCAACUUCUAGGUGAAGUUAGUUAAGCAAGAGUCAGAUAUGUUGAGACCCAUCACGUAUUCCCCUAAGAGACUGGAACAACCAGUCCCAAACACCAAAGAGUUUAAAGUGUGUUGCUACAGCUAUAUUCAGAAAAAGAUUUGGAAACUGUGUCAGCUCCAUUUCAAGCAGUUAAGAUCUGCUGUGAUUGCGGCUUGAAGUUCUGCGGGGAAAACUGUCCUGCUGGAAGAGUAUGGAACAAUAUAACUGAAGCUGUAUUUAACUACUGCUUUGGAAUCUAGUACUGCACAGCUCUAUGUAAUCCUCCAGGCACUUUAAUCAGAGACAAAUUUCACCUACCAUGUCCA
rnacentral:lncRNA from 1 species